CUUACAUAAAGUAACUUGAUUAGAUAUAUAAGCAGCCAUUUUGUUUAGAUACGUGCUCUAACUAGUGAAGGAAAAGGAUUAGCAGCUUAUUUGACAGGAACAACAAAUACUCUUGGUAAUAUAUAGAGGAAUUGAACGCUGUUUUACUGCGCAAGCUCUUCAUCCAACUAAAGUUUAUAGCUUUACAGUUUCAGCUUGGAUGAGUGAGUGUAGAUGCGAAAGUUUACCCAGAACACGUCGAAUCAG
rnacentral:lncRNA from 1 species